UUCAGCAGUGAGCAGCUUGUGAUAAACCGUGUGUGGGAAAACAUGAAGAAGGAGUGAAGGACUGGUCCCCCAGAAGCUGCAGACCGAGGUCCACUUUGUGUGGGAAAACAUGAAGAAGGAGUGAAGGACUGGUCCCCCAGAAGCUGCAGACCGAGGUCCACUUUGUGUGGGGAAACAUGAUGAAGGAGUGAAGGACUGGUCCCCCAAAAGCUGCAGACCGAGGUCCACUUUGUGUGGGGAAAUAUGAUGAAGGAGUGAAGGACUGGUCCCCCAGAAGCUGCAGACCGAGGUCCACUUUGUGUGGGGAAACAUGAUGAAGGAGUGAAGGACUGGUCCCCCAGAAGCUGCAGACCGAGGUCCACUUUGUGUGGGGAAACAUGAUGAAGGAGUGAAGGACUGGUCCCCCAGAAGCUGCAGACCGAGGUCCACUUUGUGCGGGGAAACAUGAUGAAG